rnacentral:rRNA from 1 species
UACGGAGGGGGCUAGCGUUGUUCGGAAUUACUGGGCGUAAAGCGCACGUAGGCGGUUCGUCGCGUCGGCUGUGAAAUCCCGAGGCUCAACCUCGGGUCUGCAGUCGAUACGGGCGGACUGGAGUACUGCAGGGGAGACUGGAAUUCCUGGUGUAGCGGUGAAAUGCGCAGAUAUCAGGAGGAACACCGGUGGCAAGGCGGGUCUCUGGGCAGUUACUACGUGAGGAGCGAAAGCGUGGGGGAGC